GGGCAAAGAAAUCCAGCUCUUGCCAGCCUCGCCAAUAACAAAGACGUUAGAAAGUCGGGUAGCAAACUCACGAUCCAAAGCAUCCUUAACGUGAAUAAUUUCAAAAGAGCCAAGAUGAUGCUCACGAUGAACAAUGGUACCAACACGACCCAUGUUACGGCCACCAGUAACCAUAACUUGAGCAGAGGUGUCGAAUUUGAUGAAAGACUCAAUUUUAUUGGUUUCCAAGUUAAGCUUAAUGGUAUCAUUGACCUUAAUCAAAGGAUCAGGAUAACGGAUAGUACGUCCAUCAUGAGUGACAAGGAAAGGGAC